rnacentral:rRNA from 1 species
UACAGAGGGGGCAAGCGUUGUUCGGAAUUACUGGGCGUAAAGGGCGCGUAGGCGGCCUGCUAAGUCGAACGUGAAAUCCCCGGGCUCAACCCGGGAACUGCGUCCGAUACUGGUUGGCUUGAAUCCGGGAGAGGGAUGCGGAAUUCCAGGUGUAGCGGUGAAAUGCGCAGAUAUCAGGAGGAACACCGGUGGCGAAGGCGGAUCUCUGGGCCUUACCUGACGCUGAGGAGCGAAAGCAUGGGGAGCAAACAGG